rnacentral:rRNA from 1 species
AACCUCUACAAUGCGCGAAAGCGUGAUAGGGGGACUCCCAAGUGACCACGUUAGUGGUCUUUUCUCUACUCCAAAAAGGUAGGGGAAUAAGGGCUGGGUAAGACCCGUGCCAGCCGCCGCGGUAAUACGGGCAGCUCUAGUGGCAUUCGCGAAUAUUGGGCCUAAAGCGUACGUAGCCGGUCCUAUAAGUCCUUGGUGAAAUCUUGCAGCUUAACUGUGAGAAGUGCCAGGGAGACUGUAGGACUUGGAGCCGGGAAGGGUCGGAGGUAUUCCUUGGGUAGGGGUGAAAUCCAGUGAUCCUUGGAAGACCGACGGUGGCGAAGGCGUCCGACUAGAACGGGCUCGACGGUGAGGUACGAAAGCUAGGGGAGCGACCCGGAUUAGAUACCCGGUUAGUCCUAGCCGUAAAUGAUGCAGGUUUGGUGUGACACUCCUUACGAGGGAUUGUCGUGCCGUAGGGAAGCCGUUAAACCUGCCGCCUGGGAGUACGUCGCAAGACU